rnacentral:lncRNA from 1 species
GAUGGGUCUUGCAGUGAGCUUAUCAGGGUGCUGCUGUGAUUAGAGGUGGGGAGCCUUGGAUUCUUGAGUAAGUCUCACUGUGACAUCAGCUAAGAUGGACUUUUAUGUGCUUCCUUUGAAGGCAUCACGUUGGGUGGUUUCCAUUUAGACCGAGGCCGGUUCAGAACUUCCCAAAUGAUGGUCCUCCUCCUGACGUUGUAAAUCAGGACCCCAACAAUAACUUACAGGAAGGCACUGAUCCUGAAACUGAAGACCCCAACCACCUCCCUCCAGACAGGGAUGUACUAGAUGGCGAGCAGACCAGCCCCUCCUUUAUGAGCACAGCAUGGCUUGUCUUCAAGACUUUCUUUGCCUCUCUUCUUCCAGAAGGCCCCCCAGCCAUCGCAAACUGAUGGUGUUUGUGCUGUAGCUGUUGGAGGCUUUGACAGGAAUGGACUGGAUCACCUGACUCCAGCUAGAUUGCCUCUCCUGGACAUGGCAAUGAUGAGUUUUUAAAAAACAGUGUGGAU